rnacentral:antisense_RNA from 1 species
CGGAACGUGCACUCCCACGUCGGCUCGGUCCCGGUCAGGCACUGCUCGCCGAAGUAGGCGCCGUCGGCGAGGAAGCCGAGUACCUGGUCCCCGCCGUACGGUCCGGUGCCGACCUUGUCGACGCGGCCGUGCGCCAGCAGGAAGACGCGGUCCUUGGCGUCGCCGGCGCGGGCCAGCACGGUGCCCGGCUCGCAGUCCACCCGCUCGCAGCGCUCGGCGAGCCGGCCCAGCACCUCCUCGUCGCCGUAGCCGCUGAGCGCCGGGAGUUCGCCCAGUUCGGCCGGGAUGACCGACACCUCCCCGCCGGUCUGCACGAACGUCAGCCGUCCGUCGCCGACGGCGUAGCUCAGCCGCCGGUUCACCCGGUAGGUACCGCCCUUCACGUCCACCCACGGCAGCAUCCGCAGCAGCCAGCGGGAGGAGGUCUCCUGCAUCUGCGGAGCGGAUUUCGCGGUCGUCGACAGGUUCCGCGCCGCGGACGCCGCCAGACUCUGCUGCGCGGACGCCU